AUCAUCAUUAUCACCACACCGCUGUCCGAAACCCCAAAAUGGCCGACGAAUCGAUAAUCCAUCGAAUCCAGACAGACCCAAACCCUCUUCUCCCCUCCCGUCCCCUCCCUCCUCCACAAAUUGAAACAUUUCAAAAAAUUGAAACCCUCAACAGUAGAUUAGAGUAGAUGCGUAUAAUUAUUAAUGGAAGAAAGAAUUCUAUUUCUAUAUUUGUCGUGCAUGCAUUUUGUUCGCCCCUCUGUUUUCGCCUGCAUGCACACCCCUUUUCUCUCUCCUCACUCGCUUUCUCUCUCUUGAUAUAUAGAUAUAUAUAUAUAUCCUUUCAGUGUCUCCCCUUCAUCCCCUGUCUUCUCUUUUUUUCUUUUUUGGAUUUUUUUUUUGGGGUUUCUAUUUUAAUCAAUCUGUUGUUUUUCUGGGCGUGUGUCGGAAUUGGGGCACCGACCACCGACUGCCGCCGUCGGAGCUGUUUGAUUUAUUUUCUUUCUCAAUCUGGGGUUUCCUUUGUUUCUCGGUUUCAUUUUCCCCCUUUCGAUUGGAGAUUUACAGUUUGGGGAUACGGAUUUUUUGCUUCUAGUUAGCAUGCGGACGUCGGGUUUUGCGGAUUCGAACGAGGUGGAUUGAACGAUGGUUUCGUUUCCUCUGCAGUGAAGUCGCUGAAUUUCAUCUUGGGAAUCGCAGCGGUUUUGAUUAUCGAUUGUUGUCUAAUUCCUUCGAUCUGCGUCGGGAAGAUUUGAUUUAAUUGAAUCUCGAUUGGGUGGUUUCUAGGGUUUUGACUUCGAUUGUUCUGCUUCUCUUGAUUUGGGGGUUUAAUCAAAUGGGGUCGAAGAACUGCAUGAACGAGGCGUGUCGCGCUACGACGUCGUCUGAUUGGAAGAAAGGCUGGGGAUUGAAAUCCGGCGCAUUCGCUACACUCUGUGUCAACUGCGGAUCUGCCUAUGAGAAUUUUGUAUUUUGUGAGACAUUCCACUCGGAGGAGUCCGGUUGGAGGGAAUGUAAACUAUGCCGGAAGCUUAUUCAUUGUGGAUGUAUUGCUUCGAAGAGCCUAUAUGAAUUCAUGGAUUUCGGGGGUAUUAUGUGCCAGAGCUGUUGUUCUAAGCGUUUGGAAAUUCGUCCUGUGCUGCCAAUACAGGUUCCAAGUGACAUUCCCAAAAUCACAUUAGUAGCAAACGGCAUCAAAGAUGUGCAUCAUGUGCCCGUCGAGAAUAGAGUUAAUGAUGACAACAAAUUCAGCACCGAGAGGCUUAUGCAGCUGACCAAGGCUAUACGCGUCAACGAUGUGGCUUCGGCCCUUGAACAACAUAAACGGAGUGAGCUUUUGGUCAAACCACCCGUUGAAAGCAGUCAUCGCGUACCAAACCUCUCCCAGCAUUUUACUACUCCAUCUCCUCUCGCCAAACCAGACAACAGACCAAAACAAGUGGUUAAGGAUAUGUUUGAAUCUCUUUCUCAGCCAUCACUGAAUUUCUCUCUGACCACUGCUUUAGGUAGUCCGGCUACAGUGCAGUCUUUUUCCGGCGGGAUCAUCGAGAGAAAUGAUCAAAGCAAAGGCUCUUUCCAGCAUGGACCGAAAAUGCGCAAUAAUUAUCCAAAGCCCCCAAAAUCAAGCCCCGUAGCUGGUCCAGAAACAAAUAAAGGACAAGCUUCACAAACGCGUGUAGCCAGGCCCCCUGCUGACGGGAGGGGCCGUAAUCAGUUGCUCCCUCGGUACUGGCCAAGGGUCACCGAUCAAGAAUUGCAGCAACUAUCUGGAGAUUUAAAAUCCAAUAUCGUACCAUUGUUCGAGAAGAUUCUAAGUGCCAGUGAUGCUGGUCGUAUCGGCCGACUCGUUCUUCCUAAAGCAUGUGCUGAAGCAUACUUCCCGGCUAUCAACCAAUCAGAAGGUAUACCAAUAAAGAUUCAAGAUGUAACGAGCAAAGAAUGGACAUUCCAAUUCAGGUUUUGGCCAAAUAAUAACAGCCGGAUGUACGUUCUCGAAGGCGUGACUCCUUGCAUUCAAAAUAUGAACUUACAAGCUGGCGACACAGUGAUAUUCAGCCGGAGUGAACCCACGGGACAACUUGUGAUAGGUUGCCGUAAGACUGCUGAAACUGAUGCUUCAAUGACUUCCCUUCCAAAUGGUGAUUCUCGAGAAGGAAAACAAUCCGAUUACCAUGCAAAUGGAGGCAAGGGGUUAGAUGAUUCUCGCAUGACAGCAUCGGAGAAGAAAAGAGCAAGAAACAUUAAGAACCAGAGGCUUCAUAUGCACAAUGAUGAUGCUAUGGAGUUAAGAAUCACAUGGGAUGAAGCACAGGAGUUGUUUCGUCCACCUCCAUCUGCUGAACCAACUGUAGUUAUGGUUGAUGGCCAUGAAUUUGAAGAAUUUGAAGAAGCUCCGGUUUUUGGAAAGAGAACAAUAUUUGUCUCUCGACCUUCAGGUGAACAAGAGCAACUGGCUCAAUGCGACAAAUGCUUGAAAUGGAGGAGAUUGCCUGUGAAUAUUCUUCUUUCGUCAACGUGGACUUGUGCAGACAAUAGUUCAGAUUUGAAAAGAAGCUCAUGUUCUGCCCCCGAGGAAAUAAAUCCUAGAGAUCUUGAUUUAUCGAGCAUUAACCAUGAUUUGAAGAAACGUCGAGUUUCAGAGAAGCCAACAAAAGAAGACGGCGAGCCAUCAGGUCUUGAUGCACUAGCAACUGCCGCAGCUCUCGGCGACAACUUACCCGACUUCGCCGCCGAGUCAUCCUCCGCGGGGGCCACAACCACCCGCCACCCCCGCCACCGCCCCGGGUGCACCUGCAUCGUCUGCAGCCAGCCCCCGAGUGGGAAGGGCAAGCACGAGCCGACGUGCAAGUGCAACGUCUGCCUGACCGUCCGCCGCCGUUUCAAAACGCUAAUGAUGCGUAAGAAGAAACGACAGUCGGAACGCGAAGCUGCCGCCGAAGUGAAGGAGGACGCCGCUUCCAAUACAAAAACCGAACCCGACAGGAAAGACGCUGCUGCUGUUUCGCUCCCGAGUGCGGAAAACGGGACGAACCAGAUAUCGAAUGCGGGGAAUUCUGAAAAUGGGGCGAUCCGAAUGGAGAUUGACGGGGCGAAGAAGGACGGGGAGCUGGACUUGAAUACGGACCCGGGGCUUAACCGGGUGGGUUUGGCUGCGCUGGCGAAUAUGUGCUCGGAGCAAAACGAGAGCGGCGGUGCCGGGGCUGGGAAUGUGGAAGCUCAGCCCUGUGGAGAAAAUGGAGGUGAGGAAGGAGGAGGGAAUGUGGAGCAGGCGAAGGAGGGAUGAAGGCGAGGCUGCGGUUGAUUUAUGAAAGAUCAUCAUGGUGCUGAUUUGGGAUGUCGUGGGAUUUAAUCCAACUUAUUCAUCUGAUGCAGGUGCAGCACAAUGGUCCCGAACACACCCGGCCCGAACCCGACAAGAUCCAUUCAUUCUACGCUCCGGAGCACAGCGGUCUCAAACAGGCCCGGCCCGGCCCGGCCCAAACAAUAGAUGACCCAUGAUCCAGAUGGAACUACAAGUGUAUUUUCUUCCGAUGGCUUUGUGGGCACGACCAAGGGUGGCGCACCUGAAAAUCUAAUAAAGAGCAAUGAGAAGUAAUGGCAUAUUGGCAACCAAACAGA